rnacentral:tRNA from 1 species
GGGCACCUAUCUCAAUUGGAUAGAGCUCCGCCAUUUGUGCGGAAGGACGCGGGUUCGGUUCCCGCUGUGUCCU